UGGCAUAGUGGUUAAAUGCUAUGGCUGCUAACCAAAGGGUCGGCAGUUCAAAUCUGCC
rfam:Loxodonta africana unplaced genomic scaffold scaffold_60, whole genome shotgun sequence.